rnacentral:lncRNA from 10 species
CUCUCACCAUUGCUGCCCAGUCACUACCCUGCAUGUGAAUGCCAGCUUGUCUCUUGAGUUGUCUCUUUCCUAUUCUCAACUUCCACCCCCAAACACAUUUAGAGCACAGGUCUUUUCUGUCACACUUGCCAGUCUUCCUUGCCUGCUCUUAUUAUGUAAAUCAAAUUCACCACUCUGUCCUGUUUUGUUUUCAUCUCUGCUUCACUCAAUACCCCGACUCCCUCAGGACCGUGUUGCUUCUGCCCUGAAUGAGUUCUUUUCUCCCGGGCUGCAGGGACCACAGAGGUCUUCUUCCUAUUACUUCAUGGACUGUAUGAAUUCCACCCAGCUGGUGACAUCAUGGCAGGUGGUUUGGAGAUGAACUGGUAUCCUGCCCUGUGUUAAAUGUCCUCAGACUGGAGCUCAGAACUUUUGAGUAUUUUCAAAAGGGUCACCGUGUCUCCAGAGAAAUGCUCCCAACAGUCCUAACUGAAGUCAGCACUGAACUGGGCAAAGGACUCAAGAAAAAAAGUUUCCUUCCUCCUCGAUGUGUUGCUCAAAGCACUGCGUGAGACCACACGGAGCAGUAUCUAAGCAUUGAGCAACACUCAGAAGGGCAGCAGGACAAAUGCGUAGCUGCUAAUGACCCCUCUCCUGCCAAUGCUUUCCUCCCUCAGCCCCCUCUAGGGUCACCGAACAGCUGUAAAUACAAGCUGACCACCCUCAAGGAGCUGGGAUGGAGGGAGGUUUUCUCCAGUCUCCAGUUCUGCCUUUGCACCUCUGUGGCCUCUCAAAUGCUCAGCCAGUAUUUUGAGUACACCCAACCUCACCCAGGAGAUAUAUGUCACCCAGAAACAUGUGCUCUCCAGAAAGUCUUCCUGACAUCAUCGGGGCAGUCCUCCUCCACCUCCUCCUCUUCCCAGCAAUUCGUUCUGCAAAUUAAUGCCAUCCAAACAAUCCUCGAGAACUAUCUAGGAAAGGACGAGGACCAAAUUACCAAGCCUUUGGAUCUAAUCCAUGUGGCAUCCCAUCUGUGAGCUCCAGGGAGAUUCAAAGUUGGCCAGUGCUGGAGGCCAAUCAUAUUUAUACCAUUUCCAUAUGGCACCUUUUGAUUGAGACUUGGCAAGCACAUGAGUAAGUUUACUUUCCUUUUUUAAAAAGCUAUAUUUGUUCCCAACACUGUAAUGUCUACAAAUGUCUUUUAAUUGUUAUACUUGUAACCAGGAUAAUAAGAUUGGGCAAGCUUGAAUAGCAUUUAGUUUGGGACCUCUUAGAAUGUCAGAGCUUUUGGGAAUUGUCUUCCUGGGGUGGAGCUUUCCCUGAAGGGAAUGGAUGGCCCCAUUACCAGCGAACUUGGACUAUAAGUCACUCUUGGGGGAUGACAGAACUUUCCUCACAGUCAGGCUGGAGGUGAGUCAAGCCAAGAGGCAUUAGGAGGUUCCACGGGAGGAAUCAGUUUCCUGGCUGUGUCAGGGCUGUUGUUGUGUAUGGUGUGUGAGGGCACCAUUCUCAGAGAAUAUGAUGUGAAUGGUGCCCCUUGGAAUUGUACAGCCGGGUGGACCUGUGCCACACAGAAAUAAGGAAGUGGCUCAGUGGGAGGACCUGGAGUAUGUCUGGGCUUAUGCAUAAGUUGAGAGAGCCUGUAGCCAUGCUUCGGUAAUGUGGUAGAGAAAAGACCCCCACCCACAUCUCCACUCCCACCCCCACACCUACACUUGCCAACCCCACUGCAGUCGGAUUGGAGGAAGACAGAGAGCAAGACGUUGGAACAAGCAGCAGGGGUGGAGCCUGGGACACAAGGUCAGCACAUAGCAAGCCCUUGCUUUGGAGCAGAGGUGGCCGGUUUCCAGGGCAGUGAGUAUUUGAGGCAGUAAUUGUGAUCUUCAGCUUCACUGGUGCAAGUAUCACCUGUGAGAAAGCAGGCAUUGGGUGUGAUUAAUUAGUAUGCUUCUUUAGCAU